GAGGGUGUAGCUCAGUGGUAGAGUGUGUGCUUGGCAUGCACGAGGUCCUGGGUUCAAUCCCCAGUACCUCCA
rnacentral:tRNA from 1 species